rnacentral:miRNA from 1 species
GCAGACACAUUCCAGCCAAUCAGCAGCAGACCCUCCCUCCCAGACCCUCCCACCUCCUGGACAGCUCACUAAGAAUGCAGCUUCACAAUGGAUGCUGUCCAGGAGGUGGGAGGGUAUGGGAGGGAGGGUCUGCUGCUGAUUGGCUGGAAUGUGUUUG